AGAACCCGCCAACUCUCUCUCUCUCUCUCUUCAGCGCUUUCUCUGUCCCUCUCGCUCACGUUAGCCGAGACCCGAAGACAGCAGAGGCAGCUCUGAAAAUAGAAAGAGAAAGACGGAUUUAAAUAGCCUUCUCUCUCUCUAUCUAGAAAACGGAGUUCCCGUGCUUGGAAUCUCCUUUUUUCCUCCAUCUCUAUCUCUUUCCAACUUCCAACGAAUCCAAACGGACGUUCCGUUUUCCUCUUGUUUUCAUCCAAACGCUUGCAUUUUCCCUUUUCCAACAUCAGAUCCUGAUGUUUGGACGGAAUCGCCGAUUUUCUGGUUGUUUUCUUAGAGAUUUUAAAGGAACUGCUGAAAGUUCUUCAUUUUGGGCAUCGGAUCUUGUUCUUACGCCCUGAUCGGCGGUUUUUGGUUCGUUUUCAACUAUUUUACAGAAAUUGCUGUGAUUUUUUCAUUUUCGGCAUCAGAUCUUGUUAUUUUAUUUAGAUUCCGGUUUUUUGAGUCAUUUUUCAUGGAUUUUUAUGAAGGACUCGCUGCAAUAUGAUCAUCACUGGUCUCAGAUCCUGCUCUUUUGCUGUAGUUUGUUGAUUUUUAUUCGUUUUUCAUGGAUUUGAUAGAAAUUUCUGUGAUUUUUUGCUCCUCUGGUCUCAGAUGCUGCUCUUUUUCAGUUGAUUCCUGCUUUCAACUCAUUUUUUAAGGCAUUUUAGAGAAAGUUUAAUAAUAUUUAGUUUCUGUCAGCAGAUCUUCUUCAGACAAUUGGUUUUGGUUGUGUUUUUGAAACAUCUUACAUUCAUUUCGUUUUCGUUUUUGGCAGCGGAUCCCACCUUCGAUUCUAAACUGCUAGUUUUUACUUCUUUUUCUCUGAAUUUAUUACAUUCUUUCCAUGUCUGGAUUCAGAUCCUGUUCAUUUUAGAGCUGAAAUUGUUGCAUUUUUUAAUGUAACUUCUCAUAUACUUUUUAAAACCGGUGCUAGUCUAUAUAAUUCCAAGGCAAUAUUUGAAGCUUUAACAGGCAAUUUGAUCAAUCUUUGUUCUGGAAGCUGCUGAUCUGAUUGUGCGAUGCGCCGGGUUGCAUUUGGAGCUGCUGCUGCUGCAUUUGCAGUGAAAUUAGGGGUUUACGAUGUUGAUGCAUUUGCAAAAGAAAGUACUGGGUUGGAAGCUGUGAAGGAGAGAAUCCUAUCGAAGAAUGGAAUUGUUCCGAGCCGAGCAGAGCAGGAGUCUGCAUUGUCAGGAAGCAGCUCAGAUCGGCCUCUCGAUCUGCUUGUAAUAGGCGGUGGUGCAACUGGUUCAGGAGUUGCACUUGAUGCUGCAACCCGUGGGCUUCGUGUGGGGCUUGUGGAGAGAGAUGACUUCUCGUCUGGUACAUCGUCGAGAUCUACCAAGCUACUUCAUGGAGGUGUACGUUAUUUGGAGAAGGCUGUAUUCAAUCUUGACUAUGGGCAGCUGAAGUUGGUCUUCCAUGCCCUUGAAGAGCGCAAUCGUGUUAUUCAAAAUGCUCCUCACAUAUGCCGUGCUCUGCCAACCAUGACUCCAUGUUUUAGUUGGUUUGAAGUAGUCUACUAUUGGGUGGGACUGAAAGCUUAUGAUCUGGUUGCUGGGCCACGUAUCCUGCAUCUAUCGCAAUAUUACUCUGUGCAUGAGGCUGUCAGUAUCUUUCCAACUCUCUCAAGAGAAUGUAAUGGGCGGAAACUGAAAGGUGCAGUUGUCUAUUAUGACGGGCAAAUGGAUGAUUCACGUCUUAAUAUUGGAUUAGCUUGCACAGCUGCAUUGGCAGGUGCAGCAGUGCUUAACCAUGCAGAAGUAAUCUCUGUCCUAAAAGAUGAUAAUUCUGGUCAGGUCAUUGGUGCCCAUGUACGAGACAAUUUGACAGGAAAUGAAUUCAACGUAUAUGCAAAGGUAGUUGUCAAUGCUGCUGGUCCUUUUUGUGAUGCUUUAAGAAAGAUGGCUGACAGUACCACUCCAAACAUUAUCUGUCCAAGCAGUGGUGCACACGUGGUUCUUCCAGAUUAUUACACACCUGAAGGCAUGGGGUUAAUCGUUCCUAAAACCAAAGAUGGCCGCGUGGUGUUUAUGUUACCAUGGCAGGGCAAAACGUUGGCUGGAACUACAGAUUCUGGCUCUGAAAUAACCAGCCUCCCGCAGCCACGCGAAGAGGAGAUUGAUUUUAUCAUGCAUGCCAUCAGUGACUACCUGAACAUUAAGGUCCGUCGCUCAGACAUUCUCUCUGCAUGGAGCGGAAUACGUCCACUGGCCACUGAUCCUUCAGCCAAGGACACUGCAAGCAUUUCCAGGGAUCAUAUUGUUGAUGUUGAUCGCCAUGGUUUGAUCACAAUCAUGGGCGGUAAAUGGACUACUUAUCGGAGCAUGGCAGAAGACACGGUGGAUGCUGCGAUCAAGCAUGGCAAGCUGGAGCCCUCAAACAGCUGUGUAACCGCUCAUCUUCCCAUUGUUGGUGCUUAUGGAUGGGAACCGUUAUUUUUCACGAUGCUGGUACAAUCAUUCGUGCGUUUAAAGAGAACCCAUGAUGGAAGGGUAGUGCCCAGGACAACCGACACUGCUACUGCCAAACAUCUUUCUUGCACAUAUGGGAGCAUGGCAGAACAUGUAACUGCUAUAGCACAGAAUGAAAAUCUCGGGAAAAGGUUGGUCCAUGGCCAUGUGUACCUAGAGGCAGAGGUGGCAUACUGCGCGAGGAACGAAUAUUGUGAAUCCGUUGUCGAUUUCCUCGCUAGGAGGACGAGGCUUGCCUUCCUCGAUGCUGAUGCGGCUUCAUGGGCGAUCCCGCGAGUCAUUGAGAUACUCGCUGCCGAGCACGGGUGGGACAAAGUGAGGCAGGACCGGGAACGGCAGGAUGCCGAAGCCUUUCUCCGCACCUUUAAAAUCGCUGCAGUGGGUUCACCAUCAUGACCCGGUUUGAUGCGGGAUCAUGGUAGGAAAUUUCAAGUGCACAAUAAUGAAAUAUUGGGGGAAAUUGAAAAUGUUUCUCAGCAUCCUUGCAAGCUUUUUCAUUGUCUUUUAAGGCCUUAACCACACCAGAAAUACCAUAUCUACUAGAAUUGGUGUCACCAUUCAUUUACAUUGAGUGCGUUUUCAAAGGUUUGGAGAUUUGAAUCCUAAACAUAUCACAAGUACUGCAUUAAUGGAACUGACAUCAUCACUCUAAUGGCUGAAUUGAGCGUCCAACGUUUUCAAUGGAUUAGAGAUUUAGAAUCCAGUUAUAACUGAAUAAUUACUUGUACUUUUUUAAAUUUCCACAAUUGGCACGAUGACUGAUA